UUUUUAAAUCUUCCCAUUCUCUUAAACAUUGUCUUGGGAACAGAUGUAUUUUUAUUGUGUUAGCAAGAUGUGUCUUUAAAAUAUUUUCUUGAAAUACAGUAAUUGCACUUCUAGAAAUGGAUUCAUUUUAACCUGAUUUAAAAUAAUCAAAGUAGUCAGAGUGAUUAAUUUUAUGUUUGUUUUAGUUUAUUUUUAAUUGUCAGGAAUAACGGGAAAUACUGAAAUAUUUAGAGAAAAAGAGUUAGGAUGAAAAGAGGGAAAACAUUUAAAGUCUUUAAAUAUUUGGAUAAUACUGUGAAUUUUCAGUUGUUAACUCCCAUUUAAUACAUGGAUAAGCUGAAGCCUAGAAGCUUAACUGUUUUGCCAGGACCUACGUAGUUAACCUAUAUUGGAGGUGACAUUUUAACCUGUGUCUGUAUGUCAGGCUCCAGAUUUUCCCACAAUACUGUAAUGAAUAAAAGAUGUAUAUAUUCUACUGAAUUGUAAAGAGCCAUUACUCUUUAAAAUUUUUUCUUUUUGCCUGUUUGAUAAUCAUGUUUUCAGAAUGCACAGUUUUUAACAUUUAUUUACAUUAAAUUUUUAGCUAAAAUACAGAGUAUUUAUAAAUUGGUUAUGGAAAAGUGAGGAAAAAUAAUUUGCAUCUACUAUGCACUAUAUUUUUUUCUUCUUGUGAAGCAAGUGCCUGUCAUGCUCUGGAAAAUAUAAAUAUGAAAUCUGAACAGUUGAUGAUUAUAAAAAUAAUUACAGGUUGCCAUUAUGAAGCACACAGUCACACCUAAUCCUUUAAAUAAAUGUGCUUAACUACACUAAAAUACAUGUUUUAAAAUGUUAAACAGAGACAUUCUAAAAAGACACGUGAAAACCAUUUAAUUUUUUUAAAGAAAAAGAUGCUGAGUGGGUCCAUAGUGGGAAUUAUUUUAAAACAAGAAAAAAGAAAUCUUUAGCCCUGGAAACCCUUCUUGGACUGCAUUAGAAAUAAAUUUCCUGAUGUAGCCUGUAAGUCAGUCAAAACAGGGAAGACUGAAUGCUGGGAGCAAUAGGUGUGUUUGUUAACUCUGAAAUACUGAAAGUCAGAAACAUGUGAAAAGGAUGGUCAUGUUAAGUAGGAUCUUUAAAGUCGGUAUAUAAACCAUUUCUUUGCCUUCUAUUCAAGCAAUAUACUUUCAUCCUUCUGUUGUGUUUCCUCAAUUCCUACACUUUGUUUUCGUACUCCCCCCACCAGGAAUGAGGCACCAACACCAGUGGGAGAGUUUUAGAUUCCUUAGAAAUUCUGCUUAUAUAAGUGAGUACAUCAAAUGAUCUUUGCCACAAAAAUGAUGAAUGUUUCUUUUGAAAUGCAGACCAUGGUUCCAAGAAGUUUAUGCUCACAGAAUCAGGAGCCUUGCAUUGAAAAGGUGUAAGUCUUGCUAAUAGCCUAAAAGUCUAUUUUUUUCACCCAACUGCAGCAUUAAAUAUUGGAGCCACUGUCUGGACUUCUCACACCAUUGAUAAGUUUUGACUGUUUUGGGACUGUACAUAAGUGGAAUUAUACAGUACUACUUUCCUAUGUCUGGUUUCUUCUGCACAAUAUUGUUUGAGAUUCGUACUUAUUUUAUGUAGUUGUAGUUUAUUCUUAUUGCUGUGUAAUAUUCCAUUGUGUGAUUAUAUCAUAAUUCAUUCUAUGUUUAUGGGUAGUUCUCAGUUUGGACUUAAAUCAUUUGUUACUUUUAUCAUUCAAAAUGGAUUUUAAAAACCAGAAAUAUCAACUAAAUCUAGUUUUCAAGUGAACUCUCUUUAAAUUUGCAGAUGUACUGUGCUAAUUAUUCUGCAAAUUAGCUACUUUGAUUUGAUUUUUUUUCAGUCCUGAUUUAUCAGGAGUUUACAGAUUUGGGGAUGUCUAAUCAUGUUAUUGAUUAUGUUCAACCUGUUUUUCUUCAAGCAUGAGUACUUUGAUUUAUCUGGUUAAGAAAUUUUCAGUCCUUCAUACUGAGGUCUCAGUCAUCUUACAAUAGAGACAGCCAGUUUACUCCCCACUUUCUAGCCUCCGACUCUUGAAAGCUUCCAAGAAACACAUCCAGAGGUCACAUAUUGGGCAACCGAAGGCUCAUGUGAAAAAGCCUUAGAGCCACAAAAACCUUGCGCCUCAGUCAUUAAUGUAAUUUGGGGCAGAUUUUAUGAAGCAAACUAACGCCUUUGAAUUUUUUUUUUUCAGUUUUAACGUGAGUAUAAUUACUUCCACUCCUUUUUCCACUUUCCAGUCUCUCCGAGUUGCGUCCCUAAAGGAUCCUGCUGCAAGAAAUGAGUGAAUGAAUGAAGAUAUUAAGAAUUAAAGUACUGAUGUUAAUGAGAGCAUGGGUGAUGUGGUUUGGAUUGCUUGAGGCCAGGAGAUUGAAACUAGCCUGGGCAACAUAGUGAGACAAACCUUGUUUCAAAAAAAAUAAUAUAUAUAUAUACACAUACACACACUAAGUGAGGUGGUGUGUGCUUGUAGUCCUAGCUGCUUGGAAGGCUGAGAUGGGAGGAUUGUGCCCAGGUGACAGAGCGAGACCCAGUCUGUAUUAAAAAAAAAAAAAAUUAAAUGUUGUAUACUUAGCACAUAAGUGAUCAUUAAAUGUUUGAUGAAUGAAUUAAUGAGGAAAGAUUUUUUUUUUGAAAAAGAAGUUUUAUGAGGAGAGAAAACAUUGCAUAUGUAAGGCAUUAUCCUCAAUUCCAUUGUGGACUCUCCCCCAGGUGUGCAGCCUUGAAUGAUGGAAAUAUCCUCAUGAGAUUCUGAAAGAGGAGGAAACGAAUUUUGCCCUUAAAUAGGUGUCAGUACAGCUGCACUUAUUUGCACAUUUCUAGUUCUGCCUCUGACUAGAGAUCAAUUGUGAUGACUUUGAAUUUGUAGACCAUCUGCCUGUCAGUGCACUUAAAAUUGCAACUGAUCUUUAUAAGCUGAGUAUAACUAUUAUUGUAGCAAACAGCAAAUUAAGUGACUAUACACUGGAAAGAGUUAGGUUCAUACCUCCUUGAAGACUGUGAGCUGUUCUUUAUUUGGACACCUGGUAUUAAACUCUUAUUGGUUAUUAAUAUUUGGGACAGGUUAAUGAAGACAAUAUUUUACAGAAUAUAGCAGUUUUCAAUAUAAUAGAUUCAAUACAACAACUUUUUGUGUGUUUAUAAUUUUGUUACUUAUUAUUUACCAUAAGUGGUUUAAAAUAUACGUGGCAAAACAUUCUUUAGAGCUUUGAUUGCAAUAAUUAUCACAUAACCAACACCUCUUAAGUAUUACGUACUUAAGAAGGAACUUGAACUUUAUCUUAACACAAUAGCAUUGACAAAUUACUCACAAAAUUAGUAGUUGUGGAAGAAAAUAGGUAUAGGAAGAGUAAGUCACUGAUAUUGAGUAAAUUAAAGUUAUAGACAUUAAAUUACAGACAAUAAAAUUAUAGAAGCACUAAAUAGAUAAAUUGAUUUUUUUAAUGUCAUGUUAAGCAUUUAAAUUGCCUUUACAAAAUAUUCUUCACAGUCCUUGGAGAAAUUGCUGCUGUAUAUUUGAUUAAUAUGUGAACAACAUUUUUAUUGUUAAAAUAUUUUCUUCAUUCCUUUCAAAUUUGUAUUUAAGGUUAGCAGAGCCUCAAGCAGUGCCUGAGUAGGAAAGUGAUAAACUGACACCACACUGUAGAGGAGGAAGAAAAACAUCUCACCAACGGCAGACAGCAGAAACUAAUGGUUUUCAACUGUUGCUGAUCUAAUCAAUCAUGGUGCUAUGAUAUAAUCAGUUCUGUGUGAUUCGUUUGUUGUUCUACUGGAAUGCAUUGUAUUCCCUUCUUAUUUUUAAGCCCCCCUACUUCUAGUUUUCGCCUUUCUUAAAAGGCAAUUUCUAAGAUUGUGUUUCUUUUAAAGCCAAUAAGUAAUUGUGAAAGACAAACUCAGAGCCUGUUGAAUUUCAACAAAAGUUAAGUAUUUUGUAGGACAUACAACAAUAGUGUUCUUUAAUUAAAAUACUGAGCCAUAUGAAAAUUUGUCCAACAUUUGGUAAAUGCCCUUAGUUGAAUCGUUAAUAUCCUAGAUAGUAAAAGAUUAGUACCUUUUAUCUCUAGUCUACUGGGUACAGAUUUUGCUUUCAGAUACUAUCAUCACAUCAUCACACACAGGUUGAAGAUGACAUUUUCUCACCUGUUAAGGCAUGACUUUCAGUAAAAUGUAUUUAGCUGUCAGAGGUCUGCAAGCAGUCCAUCAGUUGAGACAUGAUGCUGUUUUGACCGAUAUUGGUGACAUUUUAAAAGCUACACAAAAAUUCAUAAUUAUAAAAGUGUUCACUGUUUCACUAAAGACUGUGUAAUGCAUUGCAUAUUAAUUAAUAAGAUGUUCUCUUUUAAAUGCUAUCCCUAAAAUGUACUUAAUGUUACUUUCCAUUACCAUGCAUAAAGUUUUAACCAUUUAUUCAUGCCAUUAGAAAAAUGUAGACUUUUCCUUUCUUUUCGGUAUGUUCCUUUUACUUUUCUACUCAUUAUAGAGUCAUGAACAACUAUG
rnacentral:lncRNA from 1 species